rnacentral:lncRNA from 1 species
ACUGCCUAGCUUUUACAUACUGUCUGAACUAUGUGAUUCUGGUGGGGAAAAGAAGCCUGUGAAAUACCCUCAUGUGAGCCCCAGGGCAUGUUGCUAGAGCACGCAACUACUCACUAACAAUCCUUAACCUGGAAUGACCUUGUGUCAGGCAGCACCCAGAGAGAACAUGCUUUGCUUCAGGGACAAGCCAGAGGAAAGUCACUUUAUAAAACAUAUUUCUGUGCCUGGGAAAUCAAACGCAGACCUCUGUCCUCAGCCCUUUCCAGACCACCCACACGUGAACUUCUUUCAACUUGGGGCUGGAGCUGGUAUUUCCAGAAAUGGCCACUGGUUUGGACUCCACCCCAAAGCCCUGGUCCAUCUGAAAACUUGGCCCCAGGCUGCAUUUAAACAUGCAGGUUGUGCCUGAUACCAAGAGCAUUCCUACUCUGCAAGCUUUGGCAAACAGAAAACCAACAAUACGGUACCUAAAACUAAAUAAUUUUACUUUGAAUAAUGGAAUGAUUAAGGAUGAUUUCUGUGCAGUUUUAUGACAGAGAAGAAUUGGCAGAACAUGAGGAUUUUCCUUGUUUUGGCCCGUGCUCCACGAGGUGCCCUUGAGCAUACAAUUCCCCAGUCUCACUGUUUGAACUUUUGAAAUAUGGACAAUAGGGUUAUUUCCUUCUUCUUAAUAAGAUGAAUGAGGCAAAUGUUUGCAAGAUGUCUUGAAAAGUUUGCUGGAAAUUUUAAAACAAAUUCUUCCAAAAUCAUUUCCUCAAAACCUCAGUUUAUUAAAUUCCCUAGCUUGAAAGUUUAAUGCAAUUCUAAAAUGAUGUUAAAAAAAGAGGGUGGUCUCAAUUCCAUAAUAUGCCAUAAACCUUGUCAUAAACAUUGGAAGCGGCCUUCUCUAGCUGAGGCCAUGGAAAUUAUGUCCUAAUCUAAUUGUUUCUUUCCAUUUCUCUAACUUCACAUUACCAGAAAUAUGCAGUUCACUUCCUAAUGACAUUUAUUCAAGGUUAUGAUAACAAACUAACUGUCUUUCCCAGUGAUGCAUGUGUUCUGGUGUUUUCCAGCCCAAGGCCCACUUGCUUGAUUUUCUUUCAAACCUCAUUCAUUCUCAGUCAUCUCAGCCAGAAAGUUCCUGCUUCAGAACUGAAGGGGCCUGCACCACAAAACCAAGCAAAGACCUAUUGCUCUUGGAGAGAAAACAACUACAAGUUUUGCAUCCCUGGCACCAGGCUCAAGCCAACUGGACUAACAGACUACACACUGGUCCAAUAGGUGAGGUAGGUGAAUUUAAUUGAAAGCAUGUCUAAUUCUGACUUUUAUUAAAAAGAGAGAACAGCUGGAAGUCACAAUUUCAGAAACAGGUAAUGUUUUUUUGUUUCUUUGAGUUAAAAUUAUCUCAGUUGAGACUCAAAGGGGGUACAAUUAACAUGGUUUAGUUAACUCUAUUCAAGAACAGUAUAACUUAUUUGUUCCAAAAAAAUACUCUGAUUGUAGUGAAGCUAAGUUUGAGAUCUUGUAAGGAUGCUUGUAUUAGUUUAUUUACAGUGUUUGUAUGCAUGCCGAUGUAAGAAAGCAUGUAUAAAGUAAAAUUAUUUGUGUAAAUAGUAUGAAUAUCCCAAGCAAAAUGGACCUGUUCAAGCACCAUUUUGUAAAAGAUAUUCUUACCUUACCAAUUCAGUUGAGGUGCUGGCAUUUAGUGAAUCCACCUUGUUCAGACACUGUGUUCUUCAUCAAU